ensembl:lncRNA
GUUUCUUCCUAGGUUUUGGCCUUUCUAGGGAGUUUUUCCUAGCCACCGUGCUUCUACACCUGCAUUGCUUGCUGUUUGGGGUUUUAGGCUGGGUUUCUGUACAGCACUUUGAGAUAUCAGCUGAUGUACGAAGGGCUAUAUAAAUAAAUUUGAUUUGAUUUGAUUGCUUAGUGAUAUUAAACAACAAGAAAUGUUUAUGGUUUAAUAUUGGGGACUGAUGGAUUCUGUUCAAAUGUAACAUCUUUCAAGUUAAACUGUAGUUUGUUUGUAUCCUGUUUAGUGAAUGAUUACUGUGAGUAUUAAUGGAGUUUAGGCCAUUUUGAAAGGUUGACCUAAUCAGAUAAGAGGAAAUUGCCCAGGACAAUGAAGAUGGAUGGGGUGUGAUUCUGACAUCUAGCUAAACAAAGAGAGGACCAUGGACAUUCCACAGGGGAGAGAUGGGAAACUCAUUCAAAUCAAAGUUUAUUUGUCACUUGUGCCGAAUACAACAGUGAAAUGCUUACUUACAGGCUCUAACCAAUAGUGCGGGGAAAAAAAGGUAUGUGUGUGUAGGUAAGUAUAGAAAUAAAACAGUAAAAAGACAUUUUCAAAUAACAGUAGCAAGGCUUAUUUUUACGCUACUGCUUAUUGAGGUACAUGUAGGUAUGGUUAAAGUGACAAUGCAUAUAUGAUUGUUACGGUUCUCUUGAUGUGAAGGAGAGUCAGACCAAAAUGCGGCGUGGCUAUUGAGAUUCAUGUUUAAUAAAAACAAAGUAAACACGAAUCAAUACAAAAAUGUAAUGUGAAAACCGAAACAGCCUAAACUGGUGCAAACUAACACUAGACAGUUACAAGGACAAUCACCCACGACAAACUCAAAGAAUAUGGCUGCCUAAAUAUGGUUCCCAAUCAGAGACAACGAUAAACACCUGCCUCUGAUUGAGAACCACUCCAGACAGCCAUAGACUUUGCUAGAUAACCCCACUAGCUACAAUCCCAAUACAUACACACCAAAACCCCAAGACAAAACACACCACAAUACAAAAACCCCAUGCCACACCCUGGCCUGACCCAAUACAUGAAGAAAAACACAAAAUACUUAGACCAGGGCGUGACAAUGAUGAACAGAGAGAAAGAGGGGUUAGCGGGUGGUGGGACACAAUGCAGAUAGCCCGGUUAGCCAAUGUGCGGGAGCACUGGUUGGUCGGGCCAAUUGAGGUAGUACGUACAUGAAUGUAUAGUUAAAGUGACUAUGCAUAUAAGAUAAACAGAAAGUAGCAUUGGGGUUAUAAAAUGUAUAGCUGGGGAGGUGACACCUACAAGAGGGUGGUGACCAAAAGGAGGGAAGAGUAUAAGAUGUGUUGUGAACUUUCUAUAUGUAUGCUCUCAGCUAACGGUAUCCUU